rnacentral:lncRNA from 10 species
UGGAUGGAGGCUCCAGAUUCUAAGGUGGAAAAUGAAGCACAGAGAAGUUCAGUGAUGGACCUCAGAUACUACCAGCAGAAAGCAGAAGAGCUAGGAUUUCAACUUAGGAUGUCUGGAUCCACAGUCUGCACUCCUACCCACUAUGCUACACUGCCUCUAACUAUGAGGAAGCAAGGGCAUUUUUUUUUUUCUGGUGACUAAAAAGAUAAGAGUUCAAGUAUGUGGCUCCUGAUAAUCUAACUUAUACAGCCUGGAAAAAUUGAUAGUUACUAUAUCCAGACUGUCUCAUUCAAUUAACAGUUUCUCAAGUAAUCUUCUAGUUACUGUCGUAUUUUAUCUGUAUCA